rnacentral:rRNA from 1 species
UACGGAGGGUGCGAGCGUUAAUCGGAAUUACUGGGCGUAAAGAGUGCGUAGGCGGUUUAAUAAGUUAAGUGUGAAAGCCCCGGGCUUAACCUGGGUUAGUCAUUUAAGACUGUUAGACUAGAGUAUGGGAGAGGGUAGUGGAAUUUCCGGUGUAGCGGUGAAAUGCGUAGAGAUCGGAAGGAACACCAGUGGCGAAGGCGGCUACCUGGCCUAAUACUGACGCUGAGGCACGAAAGCAUGGGGAGCAAACAGG